GGAUCCUACAAAGAAAUGCAGGGUGGAACGAUCACAGAAAAUGGCAGAAGCAAAGGGAAGAACUCAAACCCCUGCAACUUUAUCAGACAUGCAGUCUAUGCUGAAGCGAUGUGAAAAUCUUGAGAAGGAAGUGCGAUCGCUUAAACUUAAUUUGGCUUUCAUGAAUAGGAAGGAUUCUGAACAAACUAAGCAGGUCGAAGAACUCCAAAAGCAGAACGAGAAGAUGAGAGAUGAAAAGGAAAGCCUUUUAGAAGAGAUCGAGAGGAUUUAAUCUGAACCAGAUAAGAUGUGAUAGAAAUGUUGUUAGGAUUCCUAUCUAACAUCUAUGCACAACUAAUAUUUUCAUUUACUAUAUGAUUCGAAACUCAACAAACUUUAGAUGUCUUACCUUAUUUUUAGUUUAAUUUUUUAAAGUUAGAUUGAAUCUAACUUCGUUUGAUACA